ensembl:lncRNA
GUAAGUAUAAAUUACAUAAAUUAUCUUCUCUGCUGAAUAAAGCCGUGUCAGAUCGUGCUGUUCUUCUGAAUUCCUCAUAGCAGGACUUCUAUCAAAAACGAUGAAAAUUAUACGAAUCUUGAUUUUUUUUUAUCUAUUUUUUUUUUUGUGUGUCUAGAUGAGGGUGUUUGCGUGCAGCUGGAGGCUCUGGACAUGUCCUGCCACAGUGGAAACAAAGAUUUUUCUAUUUUGCUGAAUCUAGACGAGUCAAGCCACAGUGGAAAGAAGUAUAUCCUUGUGAGAUUAUUACAAUAAACCCUCAUCUUGAAGAUAAAGAUGAGGAUGAAGAAAUGGAAAUGUCCAGGACUCAGUCUAUGGACAACUUGGCUCUGAUGCAGAAGCCUCUCUAGCAGUGAUGUGUUUUGAAGUUCAGUGCAUUUCAGUUCAAUAAUCCACAUCAAUACAUUCAUACUGUGGGUUCAAAUGUAAUAUCAUUCUGGCCAUUCAUAUGUAAAGAUUGUACAAAGCUCUUUCUUUAGCUUACAUUUAUUAAAUGACACAUGCACUUGAAUGUUUUAUUAUUUUGUGAGGAUUUGUUAAUUUGUUAUUUCGGUGGCUGAACAGAUUUUAUUAGCGGGUGUUUGAUUUCAGGUGAAUCAAAGCUUCAUCCGGCAGACCAAGGAUUGAAAAUAAAGCAUCCAUAACCAGUUCCUUAUCAAAGAAAUGACUCUUUCAGAUACAGUCUUGGCACAGUAUAUUUGUAACUGAUUACAUGACCAAAGACAGUGAGUGAGAGAGCACAUCUGUGUCUGUAAACACUUUUAAUCAAACAUUUGUGUAAUUAAGAAUCUCUUACUGUCAUGU